UGAGUCUCGUAGAGGGGGGUAGAAUUCCAGGUGUAGCGGUGAAAUGCGUAGAGAUCUGGAGGAAUACCGGUGGCGAAGGCGGCCCCCUGGACGAAGACUGACGCUCAGGUGCGAAAGCGUGGGGAGCAAACAGGAUUAGAUACCCUGGUAGUCCACGCCGUAAACGAUGUCGACUUGGAGGUUGUGCCCUUGAGGCGUGGCUUCCGGAGCUAACGCGUUAAGUCGACCGCCUGGGGAGUACGGCCGCAAGGUUAAAACUCAAAUGAAUUGACGGGGGCCCGCACAAGCGGUGGAGCAUGUGGUUUAAUUCGAUGCAACGCGAAGAACC
rnacentral:rRNA from 1 species